GCCCUCUUAGCUCAGUGGUAGAGCGCUUCACUCGUAUUCUCAAGAGCAUAUGAAGAGGCCAGUCGUUCAAAUCGGCUAGGGGGCA